CGAACGAUGAACCCGCUUGCGGGGGAUUAGUGGCGAACGGGUGAGUAACACGUGAGUAACCUGCCCUUAACUCUGGGAUAAGCCUUGGAAACGGGGUCUAAUACUGGAUAUUGACUUUACCUCGCAUGGGGUUUUGUUGAAAGAUUUAUUGGUUUUGGAUGGACUCGCGGCCUAUCAGCUUGUUGGUGAGGUAAUGGCUCACCAAGGCGACGACGGGUAGCCGGCCUGAGAGGGUGACCGGCCACACUGGGACUGAGACACGGCCCAGACUCCUACGGGAGGCAGCAGUGGGGAAUAUUGCACAAUGGGCGAAAGCCUGAUGCAGCGACGCCGCGUGAGGGAUGACGGCCUUCGGGUUGUAAACCUCUUUCAGUAGGGAACAAGGCCAGCAUUUUUGUUGGUUGAGGGUACUUGCAGAAGAAGCGCCGGCUAACUACGUGCCAGCAGCCGCGGUAAUACGUAGGGCGCAAGCGUUAUCCGGAAUUAUUGGGCGUAAAGAGCUCGUAGGCGGUUUGUCGCGUCUGCCGUGAAAGUCCGGGGCUCAACUCCGGAUCUGCGGUGGGUACGGGCAGACUAGAGUGAUGUAGGGGAGACUGGAAUUCCUGGUGUAGCGGUGAAAUGCGCAGAUAUCAGG
rnacentral:rRNA from 1 species